UACGUAGGUGGCGAGCGUUGCCCGGAAUUACUGGGCGUAAAGGGUGCGUAGGAGGUUGUUUAAGGCAGAUGUGAAAACCCCGGGCUUAACCUGGGGAUUGCAUUUGACACUGGGCAGCUAGAGUGCAGGAGAGGGAAGCGGAAUACCUAGUGUAGCAGUGAAAUGCGUAGAAAUUAGGAACAACGCCAGUGGCGAAGGCGCCUUUCUGGACUGUAACUGACGAUCAGGCAGGAAUGCGUGCUGAGGAAAUAGG
rnacentral:rRNA from 1 species